GGUGCAUAUGAUGUAUGUUAGCGAUCAAAGCAUGAUACGUUGUGAUUAGUACUUCUAAUACUGAUGCACC